GUAGGUGGCAAGCGUUGUCCGGAAUUAUUGGGCGUAAAGCGCGCGCAGGCGGUUCUUUAAGUCUGAUGUGAAAGCCCACGGCUCAACCGUGGAGGGUCAUUGGAAACUGGAGAACUUGAGUACAGAAGAGGAAAGCGGAAUUCCACGUACAACAAUGAAAUACAUAAAAAUAUAAAAAACACCAAUGGCGAAGGCGGCCUCCUGGUCUGUAACUGACGCUGAGGCGCGAAAGCGUGGGGAGCAAACAGGAUUAGAUACCCUGGUAGUCCACGCCGUAAACGAUGAGUGCUAAGUGUUAGGGGGUUUCCCGCCCCCCUUAGUGCUGCAGUUAACGCAUUAAGCACUCCGCCUGGGGAGUACGGCCGCAAGGCUG
rnacentral:rRNA from 1 species